AGUGAACGCUGGCGGUAGGCCUAACACAUGCAAGUCGAACGGCAGCACAGUAAGAGCUUGCUCUUACGGGUGGCGAGUGGCGGACGGGUGAGGAAUACAUCGGAAUCUACUUUUUCGUGGGGGAUAACGUAGGGAAACUUACGCUAAUACCGCAUACGACCUACGGGUGAAAGCAGGGGAUCUUCGGACCUUGCGCGAUUGAAUGAGCCGGUGUCGGAUUAGCUAGUUGGCGAGGUAAAGGCUCACCAAGGCGACGAGCCGUAGCUGAUCUGAGAGGGUGAUCGGCCACACUGGAACUGAGACACGGUCCAGACUCCUACGGGAGGCAGCAGUAGGGAAUCGUCCGCAAUGGGCGAAAGCCUGACGGAGCAACGCCGCGUGAGUGAUGAAGGUCGUCGGAUCGUAAAACUCUGUUAUUAGGGAAGAACAAAUGUGUAAGUAACUAUGCACGUCUUGACGGUACCUAAUCAGAAAGCCACGGCUAACUACGUG
rnacentral:rRNA from 1 species